GAGCAAAACUCAACUAUUUAUUGGAGUUAUUUUCGAAAAGGUGUAAGCGUCGGUGUGUAGUUGGGAAGCAAGCUUCUCAACCGUCUGGACUUCGGUUCAGUCCCAUAGCGCCUCUGACCUGCAAAUCGAUCGUCGGAACCGGGUAUAGCGGCGAAAGACCAAUCGAGCCGUCUAGUAGCUGGUUCCCUCCGAAGUUUCCCUCACGAUAGCUGGCGCCAACAGGAGAAUGAUUCUCAAUUUCGUCCGGUAAAGUGAAUGACUGGAGGCCCCGGGGACGUUGACAGCCUCGAUCUACUCUCGAACUCGGAACAGGCGAAACGGGCCGCUCCUCUCCCGAUCGGAGUCGGCCAUUGCAACGCAGCGAAUGCACGGUGUCAAGUGGGCCACUUUUGGUAAGCAGAACUGGUGAUGUGGGGUGAACUGAACGUCCGGUUAAGGUGCCCUACGCUUCGCUCAUUAGAUCCCCGAAAGGGUGUCGGUCGAUAUAGACAGCAGGACGGUGGCUACGGAAGUCGGAAUCCGCUCAGGAGUGUGUAACAACUGACCUACCGAAUCGACCAGCCCCGAAAAUGGAUGGCACUGGAGCGAGCAACCGAUGUCGGACCGGCCGGGC
rnacentral:ncRNA from 1 species